UACAGAGACUGCAAGCGUUAUUCGGAUUCACUGGGCGUAAAGGGUGCGCAGGCGGCCAAGUGUGUUAGGCGUGAAAGCCUGGGGCUUAGCCCCAGAAUUGCACCUAAAACUACAUGGCUAGAGCAUUGGAGAGGGUAGCGGAAUUCACGGUGUAGCAGUGAAAUGCGUAGAUAUCGUGAGGAACACCAGAGGCGAAGGCGGCUACCUGGACAAUUGCUGACGCUCAGGCACGAAAGCGUGGGGAGCAAAAGGG
rnacentral:rRNA from 1 species